rnacentral:lncRNA from 1 species
AAAAAUUUCUUUUUUUAAAUUUUUUUUUAUUUUAAUUUUUUAUUUUAAUUUUAUUUAUUUUUAUUUGUUUAUUUAAUUUUAAACCAAGGGUAUUAGGGAUAUUUUACCCUUUAAUGAAUGUCAUUUUUGUGGCUUUCUACUUCUAGUGCUAUUUUUGAGAUAUAAACUUCAAAAGGUGCUAUUAUUGACAAUUGCCCUUUUUCUAACAUUGAAUAAUUAUGCUAUUACUAUGAGUAAUAUUUGCUGUAAGAGGAUUCAUGCCUGACUGCAUAACCUGGUCCUUUAUGAGAUCCACGCUCGACGGUACUUCUUGCGCCAUGUUGUAGAUCUCUUGUAUAUUGAUUCUACUUUAAUUUGCGUCAUGUUGUAGAUUUCUUGUAUGUUGAUUCUCCUUUAAUUUGCAUAAUUCCGUCUUUUCUAGAUAUUGAAACUCAGAUUUGUAGUGUAAAAGCAUUAAUGAACUCUUGCUCAAACCACUGGACCAAAGAAGCUUUCACA